CAUACUUUGUUUUGGUCGGCGAUUAAAGAUGGCCGAAGUGGUAGCAAUCCGCGAUCGCGAUUUUUUUCGUACGGAUUUAUCAUCUUGAAAUCUCCGGAAUUCUUAUUUAAAAUUGUGAAAAGUAGUGCUUUUAUAUCUUAAAAAUGCAAUAGUUGUCCGUAACCAGUGUAUUUGUAGUUUGGUGAAACUAAAAUGUGAGAAAAAUCAGCGCGGAACAAACCCUCCCGCAAAUUUGCAAUUUCUUCAAGUGGCCGCAACAGGAAAGUCCUGCCAAGCAGUGCGAUAGGUUCUUGAGACAAACAUCGUCAACCAGCGAAUCCUGAUGCCAAUCCUCGGAAUCCGGAAAGAGGAUCGCCGAAGCAAUCGUUCACACCAUUCAAAGCUCGCUCCCGGUGGCUUCCUUCUUGGUGUUGGAAAGAGGAUCCGGUGUUUCUUCCGAAUGGUUCCGGACAGUAGGGAUACUCAUCAUAUGGACCCAAUUAAUCUAGCUAAGGGUGGAAAAAACAACUCCUGUAUCCAUCAACCGGUACCAGUUCAGCCGAAGGGUACUCUGUAACGGAGUGGAGCAUGAAACGCGGGAGUGCUCCAUUUAGUAUUGGACCGUCGACUACGGUGAAACGGGUCGGUAUGGGUCUUCAUACUUUUAUUUUGUCUGGAUGUGUUCACUGCGGAUCCUCAGAUUCAUCACCGGAUGCGUCCAAGCCAUUCUGUUCCAUAUUUCAAAUAUUUUUUUAGUGAAAUUAAAAAAAAUGUUAUAAAUGAUUUAUAAAUAAUGCAAUAAAAAAUGAAAUUGA